rnacentral:rRNA from 1 species
UGGGGAAUUUUGGACAAUGGGCGCAAGCCUGAUCCAGCCAUGCCGCGUGUCUGAAGAAGGCCUUCGGGUUGUAAAGGACUUUUGUCAGGGAAGAAAAGGAUAGGGUUAAUACCCCUGUCUGAUGACGGUACCUGAAGAAUAAGCACCGGCUAACUACGUGCCAGCAGCCGCGGUAAUACGUAGGGUGCGAGCGUUAAUCGGGAUUACUGGGCGUAAAGCGGGCGCAGACGGUUACUUAAGCAGGAUGUGAAAUCCCCGGGCUCAACCUGGGAACUGCGUUCUGAACUGGGUGACUAGAGUGUGUCAGAGGGAGGUAGAAUUCCACGUGUAGCAGUGAAAUGCGUAGAGAUGUGGAGGAAUACCGAUGGCGAAGGCAGCCUCCUGGGAUAACACUGACGUUCAUGCCCGAAAGCGUGGGUAGCAAACAGGAUUAGAUACCCUGGUAGUCCACGCCCUAAACGAUGUCGAUUAGCUGUUGGGCAGCUUGACUGCUUAGUAGCGAAGCUAACGCGUGAAAUCGACCGCCUGGGGAGUACGGUCGCAAGAUUA